rnacentral:lncRNA from 1 species
CGGCAAUAUAAAUUUUCUGUCAAUAUGUUAACAAACUUUAACAUAUUUUGUUCAAAUACUUAAAAUUAUGCGACUGGACAACAAAUAGAAAGAAAAAAAAAUCUGGGCGAAUGGACCCUGGGCGAAAAGGUAUCAGGGCGAACACGUAGUAUGGCGAACGUGAUUCAGGGCGAACAGACCUGGAUUCGUUACUUUCCCCCUUACUUAUAUUCUCUAUCAAAAAAAUUUCGUUGUUAGAAUAAAGUACAAAGAACUUCUGAAGGAUUUGCCUUCAACUGCAAUUAUAUUGUAUGCUGGCGAAACAAAACUAUCCAUAGCCGCUGCAUGUUUAUGCACCUGUCCUGAUUGAUUGAGGGGCCUGUCGUUCAGCAGUUAUCGUUUGUUGAUGUUGUUCAUUGGUAUUUUCCCGUUUGGAUAUACAUGAUAUAUAACUUAGAUCGUUGGUUUUCCUGUUCGAAUUGUGUACGCUAAUAAUUUUGGGGUCCUUUAUAGCCUGCUGUUUGGUCUGUAUCAAAGCCCUGUGUAAAAGGCCGUUCUUUGACCUGUGUUUGUUAUUAUCAGGUUGAGAACAACCCUCCCUCAGACAAGGGGUCAUUUUACUGAUGUAGAAAAGAAAAUAGAAAUACCAAGAAUUUGUAUAGUUCUAUACAAAACCUUCGAAAACUUAGAAUUUUGUACCCAAAAAGAGGAGAGUUACAUCAUAUUUUAAACAACUUUUUCUAAAAGAGGGGUCCACUUAUUUUGAAUAAUAUUAAACUGUUAAAGUAAAUGUGUUAACAUGGUUCAAGUCCAGGAAUAUUACAAAAUUCUUGGACAUGUUUUGACCAUUUAAUACCAGAUAGAUAAAUAGUUCUUUGAGAAAAUAUGAGCCCUUUUGUACAAACAAAUAUAUUAUAACUUAUAUUGAUCCCUCAUAAAACAUGUAAAAGGGAUAUUUAUAACAUUAAGGGGUUGUCCCCAAACUGAUUAUGACUUGGAUCGAGAAUUGUCUCAUUGUCAGUCACACAUACAUAGACCAGAUUUAAUUAUUUCUUGGUGAACAGGGAAAAAAUACUUCAGAAAUUAAAGAAAUGUCAAAGUACAAGUGAGAAAUCAAGCUUUAAUAUUGUCAAAACCUACUAUUUUAUGUUUACAAAAAAAAAUUAUAAUCGCUCGCCUUUACUUUUCAAGCUUCGCCUCAAAAAUUUGCAAAUUAAAUAUUUUUUUAUUAAAAUUUCAAAUCGCUCGCUCGCCCCAAAUUUUGGAGUCCAAAAAUCCGUAGAACAAGAAAUUAAAUUGGUGUGGCCUAACAUAAUCAAAAAUUAA